UACGAAGGGGGCUAGCGUUGCUCGGAAUCACUGGGCGUAAAGGGUGCGUAGGCGGGUCUUUAAGUCAGGGGUGAAAUCCUGGAGCUCAACUCCAGAACUGCCUUUGAUACUGGCAACCUAGAGGCUGGAAGAGGUUAGUGGAAUUCCCAGUGUAGAGGUGAAAUUCGUAGAUAUUGGGAAGAACACCAGUGGCGAAGGCGGCUCACUGGCCCAUAACUGACGCUGAGGCACGAAAAGCGUGGGGGAGCAAACAGG
rnacentral:rRNA from 1 species